GGCAAGGCUUUGCCGGGGAGGUAGGCGCUCCCUGUUACCGUUAACCGUCUAUAGCGGGGUGAAGCAGUCCUGGCGGUGACUUGAUACUGAAGUGUCUGUCAGUUUUCCGAACGUUGAAGCCCUGCCCUUUAUGACCGGUCCGGUGCCGAACCGUGCCAGGCCCUGACGGGAGCAGCACUAAAGUACUGUACUGGUGCUUAGAGGAUACAGGGUGGAGGUAGGAGAGCUGUCAAGGCUUCGGUUUCUGCAUCCACAGGGUUGCGUGCCUUGCC
rnacentral:SRP_RNA from 1 species